AGCCCAAAUGCCCCCAGAAGAGGACAUCAUGAGUCAGCCUCCCACCUAGAGGGAGACAAUGGCACCAGAAGGACCAGUGGCUACCGGGCUUCGUGCAGUGUAGGGCACCCCUGAUAUGCCCCGUCCUUGCUCUUGCAGCCACCAACUUUGCCAGCAGCACUAACUGCUGCCUCCCUGAGGGCUCAGUCUACCCUGCAGCCUGUCUGGGCCACCUGCAUUCACCUCCGAGACCCAACACUUCAUACCCAUGGUCUCGGUGCCACAUCCAGGCACCACCCCAUGCUCCCCUCACCCCACACCCAAGUGUAGCGCUUCCCAAACCCCUGCCUAGAAGGCCACUAGCCCUGCCCGAGGUUUGCUCUCACGUAGGCCCCUGGCCCAAACCCCAGGUUGCAGGGUGAGCUCUCUCCUGGGCCCGCCCUCUGCCCUCUACUCUCCUGAUCCCUGUUUGGCCUCCUCGUAGAACCCCCACUGCCCCAUUCCCUACUUGAGCACUCCUAGAAGUAGGUCCAGCCUGGCCUUGGUGUCCAGGACUGCUGCCAGGACAAAGGACAGAGCAAUCGACGCAAGGACCUGCACCAGGACAACCGAGACAGCACGGCUGCCAAGAACCUUUUGUCAGAGAUGCUUGGGGAGUGUUUCUCUCAUUCCAACCAGCACAAACACCUGUGUGGGUCUCGGAGCGUCGGUGCAGUUUGCCUGGGUUUGGGGUUUCUGCCGGACGAGACGGCCUCCUGCAGUGGCUGAGUAAGCCUGGGGCGAAGCCGUGGAUGCCCAAGAGGUUCCAAGCGCCACCUCCAGCCCAUCGUGUCCAAGACAGGGCCCCUUCCCCCAGAAAAGGACAUAAUCCUGAUUUAAUCAGGAAUCUUCAGUAGGCACAAGCGGGCUCUGAAGGGGUGAUGUGGAUGGAAACAGCCAUUCUGAGCACAUUUGGGUUCUUAUUGUUCCGGAAAAGAUACAGAGGCACCCAGGCUGAGGUUGGUGGAGCCAAGCAAAACCGGAGUGGAGCUUUUUCCAGACG
rnacentral:lncRNA from 1 species